UACAGAGGGUGCGAGCGUUGUCCGGAAUCACUGGGCGUAAAGGGCGCGUAGGCGGCCUGAUAAGUAGGGGGUGAAAUCCUGUGGCUUAACUGCAGGGCUGCCUCCUAGACUGUUAGGCUCGAGCACGGUAGAGGCAGAUGGAACUCCCGGUGUAGCGGUGGAAUGCGUAGAGAUCGGGAAGAACAUCGGUGGCGAAGGCGGUCUGCUGGGCCGUUGCUGACGCUGAGGCGCGACAGCGUGGGGAGCAAACAGG
rnacentral:rRNA from 1 species